UACGUAGGUGGCAAGCGUUGUCCGGAAUUAUUGGGCGUAAAGCGCGCGCAGGCGGUCCCUUAAGUCUGAUGUGAAAGCCCCCGGCUUAACCGGGGAGGGUCAUUGGAAACUGGGGGACUUGAGUGCAGAAGAGAAGAGCGGAAUUCCACGUGUAGCGGUGAAAUGCGUAGAGAUGUGGAGGAACACCAGUGGCGAAGGCGGCUCUUUGGUCUGUAACUGACGCUGAGGCGCGAAAGCGUGGGGAGCAAACAGG
rnacentral:rRNA from 1 species